UACGUAGGGGGCUAGCGUUGUCCGGAAUCAUUGGGCGUAAAGCGCGCGCAGGCGGCCUUUUAAGUCUGACGGUGAAAUGCCGGGGCUCAACCCCGUGCCCGCCGGAGAUACUGGGAGGCUGGAGACGAGUAGAGGCAAGCGGAAUUCCGGGUGUAGCGGUGGAAUGCGUAGAGAUCCGGAAGAACACCGGAGGCGAAGGCGGCUUGCUGGGCUUUGUCUGACGCUGAGGCGCGAAAGCGUGGGGAGCGAACAGG
rnacentral:rRNA from 1 species